UACGGGGGGUGCAAGCGUUAAUCGGAAUCACUGGGCGUAAAGGGUGCGUAGGCGGGUAGGUAAGUCAGUGGUGAAAUCCUGGAGCUCAACUCCAGAACUGCCAUUGAUACUAUCUAUCUUGAAUAUUGUGGAGGUAAGCGGAAUAUGUCAUGUAGCGGUGAAAUGCUUAGAUAUGACAUAGAACACCCAUUGCGAAGGCAGCUUACUACGCAUAUAUUGACGCUGAGGCACGAAAGCGUGGGGAUCAAACAGGAUUAGAUACCCUGGUAGUCCACGCCCUAAACUAUGGAUACUCGACAUAUGCGAUACACUGUAUGCGUCUGAGCGAAAGCAUUAAGUAUCCCACCUGGGAAGUACGUUCGCAAGAAUGAAACUCAAAGGAAUUGGCGGGGGUCCGCACAAGCGGUGGAGUAUGUGGUUUAAUUCGAUGAUACGCGAGGAACCUUACCUGGGCUAGAAUGCUGGGAGACCGCUAGUGAAAGCUAGUUUUGUAGCAAUACACUGCCAGUAAGGUGCUGCAUGGCCGUCGUCAGCUCGUGCCGUGAGGUGUUGGGUUAAGUCCCGCAACGAGCGCAACCCCUAUCUUUAGUUGCCAACAGGUAAUGCUGGGAACUCUAAAGAAACUGCCGCCGUAAGGUGUGAGGAAGGAGGGGAUGAUGUCAGGUCAUCAUGGCCUUUAUGCCCAGGGCUACACACGUACUACAAUGGGGGAGACAAAGGGCUGCAACAUAGCGAUAUGAAGCCAAUCCCAAAAACUCCCUCUCAGUUCAGAUUGCAGGCUGCAACUCGCCUGCAUGAAGCUGGAAUCGCUAGUAAUCGUAUAUCAGCAAUGAUACGGUGAAUACGUUCCCGGACCU
rnacentral:rRNA from 1 species